CGUAGGUGGCAAGCGUUGUCCGGAUUUACUGGGCGUAAAGAGCGCGCAGGCGGUCGGAUCAGUCGAAUGUGAAAGCCCCCGGCUCAACUGGGGAGGGUCAUUCGAUACUGUCCGACUCGAAGGCAGGAGAGGGAAGCGGAAUUCCCGGUGUAGUGGUGAAAUGCGUAGAUAUCGGGAGGAACACCAGUGGCGAAGGCGGCUUUCUGGCCUGUUCUUGACGCUGAGGCGCGAAAGCUAGGGGAGCGAACGGGAUU
rnacentral:rRNA from 1 species